GAGUCCUAAAGAAAAAAAAAAAAAGCAGAAAGGGUUGAAUGAGCGAGGUUUUACCGGAGCGGACACUUCGGCUGCAACCGCUCCGAGUUGAAUUAAACACAACACCGCACUGAACUAAACUGCAUGAAUUAGGAUUUAGAGGUUUUUUUUAAAAAGUGCAUUUUAACGCAGAUUUACGCAUUACGCAUCCAAACUUUUACGCACGGGAAAUGUUUGCGAUAAAUAUGUCUCAAUAUUUUAACUUGCACGUAUCAUGAGAAAAACAAGAGAUUAUAAGUCAUCUUCAGCAAAAAUUAACAAGACAUCUUAUGAAUGCUGAGUUUAAUAUGUCAGCAUGACGCUUACUUGUUAUCUGUUUGUGGUUAUAAGCCGGUGUGCAUACUUAAUAUCUCAGUAAUGCCUCCUAAUCUCACCGCUGAUUAUUGCUCUCGUCUUUUUUAGCAAAUUAAACGGCGCGCAGCACCCCUCUAAGCCCAGAAUGAACUUUUCCAAGGGGAAAAAAAGCUUUUGUGGAGAAAGUAAUUUUGUACGUUUCUUUCGUCCAAUCCCCUCUCUUGAUAGAAACCCGUACCUUACCUCAGAGUAGUCAAUUAUCAAAGCUCCCCAAGAUCAUCAAUCAUGUGAGGAGAUUGAAGUUUAGAGGAGGAGCAACGCUCCGGCCAUCGAUUGCAGUGAAGCCCUUUUUGGAGCCUGAGCAUUUUUACGCACAAAAACAGAAGCAAGGCCAUCUAUCCCCUUUAAUAUUUAGCUCCAUCAGUGCUAAUAUGGCAUCAUAGCUGUAUUGAUAGGUGCUCACAUAAAGGCUCCCUUUACAGCUCCGUGACAUUUUUGAUGGUGGAAAUUAAUUAUUCACAGGUUAGGAUUAAGGUAGACACGCUCAGGGAGAUGGGCUGUGGCUACCGUUGGAGGGUCAAUAAACUCUCCCAACAAACAAAAUACUAAGCAGAGUUGCUAAGAGGGUCGAUUACAGAAACAGCAGAGAGGGUUUUAUUAUUGUUUUUUUUAAGGGGGAAAAAUAGAUUUAAUAAAUGAAACCGUGACAACAGUUAUGUUUGUUGGCAUAAAGGGGGGUGGGAAGUGUAGGACUGCAGGGUUUGACAAACGGCUGUGUGGACAUUUCAACGUGCAAUACCCCGGGAAGGAGCUGCAGAGCGGUGCGCAGAGAGCCAAGGCAUUCACCGUCUCCAAGUCUCUCUUACACUCUGUAAACACAACCAGCCCGGCAGACUCUGCUAUUGAAGACUGAUAUUUUCAUAAGCUAAAUACUGUCGUUCCCAUUGAUUUGUGCACUAACGCUUGACUUUUUUUUUUCAUCCUCCUCCUUUUGGACAACCAUGCAUGGGACAGUCCCAGCAGAAAAACCACCACAGAGCAUUUUAAAAACACCACAACACAACACUCUGCUACUCACGACUCCCCCCAUCCCAUGUUUGAAAUACUCUCAGGAAACAAUGCAGGAGUUCACAUGAUCAAGCAAGGUACCCAGGUAAUUACCUUGCAUUGUCAAAUAAAGCGACCACUGAUUCAAAUGAGGAGUGAAAUAUCAAAGACCAGCAUUGCCUUUGCAGCCACUACUUAUCCACACAGGAGACAGAGAGGAGAUCUGAGAGCUCGGGGACCUGCAGGGAGGCAACAACAACACUCAGCCUUCCUUUCCUAGAUAAAUAUCACCAAUGGGAGCAACAGAGCCAAACAUGCCCAAGUUCACUAGUAACAACAUAUUUAUUUGUAUUACAUAUCCUACUUAUCCAUUAUUAGCUUGUGCAUCCUUUAAAGUGGCCACAGUGCAGCUUUAACAAGAAGGAUUUUUUGCUAGAUUCCUGGACCCUCCUGAUGUGCUUCCUGCUGAGUCUCUCUCAAAGGUCAAAGGUUGGAAAUUUAUGAAUGUGACUGCAGCCUGGAGGAGUCGCAGGCAGCGUUUCGAAUCUUCUCCUGCAGCGUUUAUUCUAUAUUCGUAGAUGAAACACAAAGAGAGGAAUAGAGAGAGGCUAGGAUUAGAAUUGAGUAGCGCAUUAUUGUUUGGCAGCACAAGUCUUUAGCCAAAUUAGCUGCACAAACCACACGAUCAUUUAUAACGUGCGGCGUUUGCAUUUGAUUUUCCACUUGCUUAAAGUGCAGUCUCGAAUAAACUUUUGAAAUCAGAACGCGUUCUUUUCCUCCUACUUCACUUGCACUACUCAGCUUCUCUGACAUAAUUUAAUACACUGUGUAAUUUCUUCUUCUCCUGCGUAAUGACACCUUGAUUCGAGCGGCACUGACAACAAGACCUUUGACACCUUGACACAGUAAGUGGAUGGUGAUCUCAGUGAACAAUGUCACUGCUCUGGAAACAACACCCAAAAGAAGAAAAAAAAAAAACUCAUUUCUGAUCCCUUCACGUUCGAACUAGACAAGCGGCGUCCUGGGACUUCAGUUCAGCACAGAAAGACUACCUGUAAUUUGACUUGCCACGUCUAAAUGGAAGUUGAAUAGGUUACAUUGUGCAACAACAAAUAAAAUGCUUGUGAUGCUUUA